AAGCUCUCAGCCUCCGCCGGCCAGCCUGCCACCGACGCUGCUCUUUAUCGCAGUAUUGUGGGCGCCCUUCAGUACCUCACGCUCACCAGACCAGACAUUCAGUUCGCAGUCCAGCAAGUUUGCCUGCAUAUGCACUCGCCUCGUGAUGUCCACUGGUCUUUGGUCAAGCGCAUUCUUCGGUAUAUUCGUGGCACUCCGACCUACGGUCUUCGUCUCCGUGCAUCCGCCUCGACUGAGCUCCUCGCUUAUACUGACGCGGAUUGGGCUGGCUGUCCAGACACUCGUCGCUCCACGUCUGGAUAUUGUGUCUUCUUCGGUGACUCCUUGGUCUCUUGGUCCUCUAAACGGCAGCCCACUGUUUCCCGUUCGAGUGCUGAGGCUGAGUACCGUGCUGUCGCCAAUGUUGUUGCAGAGACUUGUUGGCUUCGUCAUCUUCUUGGUGAGCUUCGGAUUUCUCUUCCGAAGGCUACUGUGGUCUUCUGUGAUAACGUAUCGGCCACCUAUCUCGCGGCUAAUCCGGCACAAGCGCACUAA
rnacentral:rRNA from 1 species